AUGCGGUCACACCAUUGCCCAAACAGCAGCAGAUUUCCCUUGCCUUUUCUAGGAUUGGCUCUCGUGCUGCUGAUAUCCUUGGCCCCUCCGACCAGCUCCUGCACGGAGCAGGAGAAGAGCUCCCUCCUCCAGCUCCUUGCUGGGUUCUCGCAGGACGGCGGCCUCGGGGCGUCAUGGCGGAACGAUACGGACUUCUGCACUUGGGAAGGGAUCACCUGCAGCCCCAACAGGACGGUCAGUGAUGUUUUGUUGGCCUCUCGAGGCCUCGAGGGGUCCAUCUCACAGUUCAUUGGAAAUCUCACCGGCUUGUUGCGCAUCAACCUGUCGUGCAACUCACUGUCCGGUGGCUUGCCGCUAGAAUUGGUGUCAUCCAGCAGCAUCCUUGUCCUUGAUGUCAGUUUCAACCGCCUGACAGGAGCACUGAGCGAGCUGCCAUCUUUAACCCCUGCACGGCCUCUGCAGGUAGUGAACAUCUCAAGCAACUUGUUUACAGGAAGGUUUCCAUCCACAACAUGGGAAGUGAUGAAGAGCCUGGUCGCGCUCAAUGCCAGCAACAAUAGUUUUACUGGGCAGCUACCAACUACACUCUGUCUCAGCGCACCAUCUUUUGUUGUGCUUGAACUCAGUUUUAACGAAUUCAGUGGAAACAUUCCUCCUGGACUCGGUAAUUGCUCCAUGCUGAAAUUGCUCGGCGCUGGCUACAACAACCUCAGUGGGACUCUUCCAGACGAGGUCUUCAAAGUCACCUCAUUAGAGCACCUCUCUUUACCUAACAAUUGGUUAGAAGGAGCACUUGAUGGCAUCAUCAAGCUCACAAAUCUGGUCACCCUUGAUCUUGGGGGCAACAAGCUCAGCGGCAAUAUUCCGGAUUCCAUAGGUCAGCUGAAGAGUUUGGAGGAGCUGCAUUUGGAACAAAACCACAUAUCAGGGGAGCUGCCAUCAGCUCUGAGCAAUUGCACACAUCUCACAACAAUUAGCUUAAAGGGCAACCAAUUCCAUGGAGAACUUACCAAGGUCAACUUCUCAAACCUGCCCAAUCUAAAAAAAAUAGAUCUUCUGCACAAUAACUUCAUCGGCAACAUUCCAGAAAGCUUAUACUCGUGCAGCAAUCUGACUGCACUACGGCUCUCGGGCAAUCAUUUACAUGGCCAAUUGUCAGAAAAGAUAGGCAAUCUGAAGUCUCUCUCGUUUCUAUCAGUUGCUAACCUCUCCCUUACGAACAUCACAAGAACACUUCAGAUCCUUGGGAGAUCCAGGAGCCUGACCAACCUUUUUAUUGGGUCUAACUUCCUGCAUGAGGCCAUACCAGAGGAUGACAGCAUUGAUGGUUUUGAAAAUCUUCAUGUUCUUUCUAUGAGUGAUUGUUCAUUGUCUGGAACAAUACCUGGUUGGUUAUCCAAGCUCACACAUUUAAGGAUGCUAUUUUUGCAAAGCAAUCAACUAACUGGACCAAUACCUGAAUGGACCAGCAGCCUGAACUUGCUCUUCUAUUUAGACAUAUCAAACAACAGCUUCAUAGGUGAAAUUUCAACUGCCUUAAUGGAGAUGCCAAUGCUAAAAUCAGACAGGACUGCGCCAAAGGUCUUCUUUGAACUGCCUGUUUAUCUUUUCAGUCCAUUUAUCCAAUACCUCAAACCUGGUGCUUUUCCUAAAGUGCUUAAUCUAGCCAUCAAUAAUUUCACUGGUGCGAUCCCGGAGGAGAUCGGUCAGUUAAGAGCACUCGUCGCACUCAAUUUAAGCUCCAACAAAUUAUCAGGAGAGAUCCCUCAAGAGAUCUGCAACCUCAGGAACCUGCAGGUGCUCGACUUGUCUGUUAAUCAUCUUACUGGUAUAAUUCCAGCUGCACUGAACAAUCUGAACAUCCUUUCUGAGUUCGACAUUACUAACAAUGACCUAGAAGGCCCUAUUCCAACCGGAGGGCAGCUUAGCACGUUUCCAGAUUCUAGCUUUGAUGGAAACCCAAAAUUGUGUGGUCCUGUGAUUGCAAACCCUUGCGGUUCAGCCGUAGCAGAUCCAGAGCUCACCAACUCCAGAGAACAGAUCAGCACUAAUGCCAUCUUUGCGAUUGCCUUUGGUGCUUUCUUUGGAGUAGGAGUCCUAUAUGAUCAGAUGGUCCUAACCAGAUAUUUUGGCUAG
rnacentral:rRNA from 1 species